rfam:Daucus carota subsp. sativus cultivar DH1 chromosome 2, whole genome shotgun sequence.
AGACAAUGAUGAGGACACGAGCAUUGAAUAUCUUUGAAUCUGUCCCAUGCAUCCUCAAGAGUUUCAUCAUAUUCUUGUUUGAAAGUGGUCAACUUGUCAACCAAUUCAUUAGUUU